rnacentral:misc_RNA from 1 species
UUUCCGUAGGUGAACCUGCGGAAGGAUCAUUAUCACCGAUCCAUACCAACCCGUGCACCGAUGUCGUAUGUCUGCGGAGUUGCGUACUUCGCACUCCGAUUGUUAACCUAUUUACCCGCACUACACAUACCUGAAGUCCCGGAUGGACGGCGGCGGCCCUUACGGGUGUGCCAGCCAACCACUCCGACCCCAAUAUCCAAUACAACUCUUAGCAAUGGAUAUCUUGGCUCUC